AGAGCAUUCGCACCCUACCAAACAUCCCCAAUUCGUCCAUCUUCUAAAUCCAAACCCUACCAAUUGAAUCAGAUGCCACCAUAGUCCGCCGCUCCUUUCACUCCUGCCAGGUUUUCGGUUAUCGCUAAUGCGUUGUGAACUAAAUUCUCCGGCCGGAAACUAGCAGAUCACGACGGUAAACUCCCUCCUGCUCAGGCUGGAAUGCACACCCCCCUAAGGAAAAUUAUGUUUGGUUUUAAGCGCUGAUGGAACUGGGAAUCGGCAAAGAUUAUAUCUGAUCUGUAUCAAGCACUGAAUCACUUAUUGCAUUUUCUGAAACAAAAGAUGACUCGAAACAUUUUCGGCAAUGUUCUUCAGGUACAGAGAUAAUUGCAGCAAUCCCUAUGUAACCACAAGGAAUAGAACAUAUUGGGUCCAUUAAUAAGGAUGGCAUGACUCCGUUGCAUCUUUCCGUUUGGCAUUCACGUAGAGCUGAGGACAUUUCGACUGUAUUACUAGAGCAUAAUGCUGACUAUAGUGCCAAAGAUAAGGUCACAGUGUAAGUCGGAUGUCAACGGACUGGUAAACGGGUUGCAGGUCUCAACGUUCUCAUCAGUUGCAAGGCCUUUUUUGGCUCAACCUGGAAACCGCAAGAUCAUGGGUGAGAGAGUGUGGAACUGCCAUGAACUGCUGCUUCUAGAAGGAAUUUAGUGACUUUAUACGGCUGAGAUUAAAAGUUGAUGACUGUGAACGGCUGUAAUUAACCCAAAUGGCGGUUACAAACAACGGGAACAAUAUAAUAUAGAAUUCUC